AGGAACCAAGGGGGAAAACCCUAAGUUCUACAAAUCAGCAAGAUUGAAGGGGAAAUCAAGAUCAAAUAACCUGCAUGAACUCAAUUCUCUAGUAAUCUAAGCUUGUCCUACAAAGAGGCGUUAAGGAAGAAAGUUCGAGUCAAGUGAAGCAACAAGGGGAUCAAGACCGAGGUAAAUCUCAUGUCUAGUUAUCAAGCUUUGCCCGGAUCGAACACACCUCAAGCCCGUCAAGCGCUCCGCAUUUUGUAUAAAGUCGAUGUCAAAUUACCUAGUUACUUAUGUUUAUGCUUUGUACUUAAACUAGUUUGGUCAUGGUUGUCUUUUGAAAAGUUGUCGUAGGUGCGUACA